rnacentral:rRNA from 1 species
UAACCUGCCCCCCAGUCUGGAACAACUAGAGGAAACUCUAGCUAAUGCCGGAUGAGACCACGGAUUCCCCCGUUUCGGGGGGUUGCGGCCAAAGAUGGCCUCUACUUGUAAGCUAUCGCUGAGGGAUGGGCCUGCGGCCAUUAGCUUGUUGGUGAGGUAACGGCUCACCAAGGCUGUGAUGGCUAGCUGGUCUGAGAGGAUGACCAGCCACACUGGGACUGAGACACGGCCCAGACUCCUACGGGAGGCAGCAGUGGGGAAUAUUGCGCAAUGGGCGAAAGCCUGACGCAGCGACGCCGCGUGGGUGAUGAAGGCCUUCGGGUCGUAAAGCCCUGUCGCAGGGGAAGAAUAAGCAUCGGUAUAAUACGCCGGUGCCCUGGCGGUACCCUGCAAGAAAGCACCGGCUAACUCCGUG